rnacentral:rRNA from 1 species
GAUGAACGCUGGCGGCGUGCCUAAUACAUGCAAGUCGAGCGAACGGACGAGAAGCUUGCUUCUCUGAUGUUAGCGGCGGACGGGUGAGUAACACGUGGAUAACCUACCUAUAAGACUGGGAUAACUUCGGGAAACCGGAGCUAAUACCGGAUGAUAUUUUGAACCGCAUGGUUCAAAAGUGAAAGACGGUCUUGCUGUCACUUAUAGAUGGAUCCGCGCUGCAUUAGCUAGUUGGUAAGGUAACGGCUUACCAAGGCAACGAUGCAUAGCCGACCUGAGAGGGUGAUCGGCCACACUGGAACUGAGACACGGUCCAGACUCCUACGGGAGGCAGCAGUAGGGAAUCUUCCGCAAUGGGCGAAAGCCUGACGGAGCAACGCCGCGUGAGUGAUGAAGGUCGUCGGAUCGUAAAACUCUGUUAUUAGGGAAGAACAUAUGUGUAAGUAACUGUGCACAUCUUGACGGUACCUAAUCAGAAAGCCACGGCUAACUACGUG